rnacentral:rRNA from 1 species
UACGGAGGGGGCGAGCGUUAUUCGGAAUUAUUGGGCGUAAAGGGCGCGUAGGCGGCCCGGUAAGUCAAAGGUGAAAUCCCUCGGCUCAACUGAGGAGCUGCCUUUGAAACUGCUGGGCUUGAGUCCGGGAGGGGGUAGCGGAAUUCCCAGUGUAGCGGUGAAAUGCGUAGAUAUUGGGAGGAACACCGGUGGCGAAGGCGGCUACCUGGACCGGCACUGACGCUGAGGCGCGAAAGCGUGGGGAGCAAACAGG